GAAUAAAAGACCAGACGCAAGUACAAAGAGAGGUAGAUCUCUACAAACAGAUAAAGCUCAAACAAGUAAGUCCAUAGCUAAAACUAGGGCAACAAAAAAAAGGUCCCAAAAAACAACNCCCAAAAAACAACCCAAACCACAGCAACAAAGGUUGAAGCCAAACCCAAUAUAACCCUAACUCUACAUUAAACCCGCAUGAGAGGAAGGAUUCAGCAGUCAGUACAAGUAACAUCGC
rnacentral:misc_RNA from 1 species